ACGCCUACGGGAGGCAGCAGUGGGGGAUAUUGCACAAUGGGGGAAACCCUGAUGCAGCGACGCCGCGUGGGUGAAGAAGCGCCUCGGCGCGUAAAGCCCUAUCAGCAGGGAAGAAAAUGACGGUACCUGAUUAAGAAGCCCCGGCUAACUACGUGCCAGCAGCCGCGGUAAUACGUAGGGGGCAAGCGUUAUCCGGAUUUACUGGGUGUAAAGGGAGCGUAGACGGCAUCGCAAGUCCGGAGUGAAAGCCCACGGCCCAACCGUGGGACUGCUCUGGAAACUGUAGAGCUGGAGUGCGGGAGGGG
rnacentral:rRNA from 1 species